rnacentral:rRNA from 1 species
UCGGCAGGUGAGUUGUUACACACUCCUUAGCGGAUUUCGACUUCCAUGACCACCGUCCUGCUGUUAAAAUGAACCAACACCCUUUAUGGUAUCUGAUGAGCGAGCAGUUAAACACCUUAACUCAACGUUAGGUUCAUCCCUCAUCGCCAGUUCUGCUUACCAAAAAUGGCCCACUUAGAGUUGGCAUUUAUCCCAGAAGUUCAGCUAAGUAACCACUGGAUCUUACCCAUUUAAAGUUUGAGAAUAGGUCGAGGACAAAGCGCCCCCGAUUCCUCUAAUCAUUCGCUUUACCUGAUAAAACUGUUCGGUUGCAGCUAUCCUAAGGGAAAUUUCGGGAGGAACCAGCUACUAGAUGGUUCGAUUAGUCUUUCGCCCCUAUACCCAAGUUCGACGAUCAAUUUGCACGUUAGAAUCGCUGCGGACCUCCACCAGAGUUUCCCCUGGCUUCGCCCUACUCAAGCAUAGUUCACCAUCUUUCGGGUCCCAACAUGUAUGCUCACACUC